AACUGGGAGUAAUACCGUAUGAGCCCCUUGGCCUUGGCGGUCUUGGGGGAAAGAUUUAUCGGCAAAGGAUCGGCCCGCGUUGGAUUAGGUAGUUGGUGAGGUAACGGCUCACCAAGCCGACGAUCCAUAGCUGGUUUGAGAGGAUGAUCAGCCACACUGGGACUGAGACACGGCCCAGACUCCUACGGGAGGCAGCAGUGGGGAAUCUUAGACAAUGGGGGCAACCCUGAUCUAGCCAUGCCGCGUGAGUGAUGAAGGCCUUAGGGUUGUAAAGCUCUUUCAGCUGGGAAGAUAAUGACGGUACCAGCAGAAGAAGCCCCGGCUAACUCCGUGCCAGCAGCCGCGGUAAUACGGAGGGGGCUAGCGUUGUUCGGAAUUACUGGGCGUAAAGCGCACGUAGGCGGACUGGAAAGUCAGAGGUGAAAUCCCAGGGCUCAACCUUGGAACUGCCUUUGAAACUAUCAGUCUGGAGUUCGAGAGAGGUGAGUGGAAUUCCGAGU
rnacentral:rRNA from 1 species